rnacentral:miRNA from 1 species
ACGGAGAGUGCACUGUCAUCACU